UACGUAGGGGGCGAGCGUUGUCCGGAUUUACUGGGCGUAGAGGACGCGCAGGCGGCCCGAGGGGUCUGUCGUUAAAGCCUGGGGCUCAACCCCGGGUGGUCGGCGGAGACCGGCGGGCUUGGAGGCCGGUAGAGGGAUGCGGAAUUCCCGGUGUAGUGGUGAAAUGCGCAGAUAUCAGGAAGAACACCCGUGGCUAAGGCGGCUCUCUAGUACGGUACUGACGCUGAGACGCGAAAGCGUGGGGAGCGAACAGG
rnacentral:rRNA from 1 species